AUACCAUGAUGAGGGCAUUUCCAUAAUAAUUCUUUAAAUCGUUCCCAUGCCUCAUAUAAGGAAUCAUCACCAAAUUGCUGAAACAGAACCUGGCGGU
rfam:Gossypium raimondii chromosome 11, whole genome shotgun sequence.